rnacentral:rRNA from 1 species
AACGUAGGAGACAAACGUUAUCCGGAGUUACUGGGCGUAAAGGGCGUGUAGGUGGUUAUGUAAGUCUGGCGUGAAAUUUUUCGGCUUAACCGGGAAAGGUCGUCGGAUACUGCACAACUAGAGGACGGUAGAGGCGUGUGGAAUUCCGGGCGUAGUGGUGAAAUGCGUAGAGAUCCGGAGGAACACCAGUGGCGAAGGCGACACGCUGGGCCGUACCUGACACUGAUGCGCGACAGCAUGGGGAGCAAACAGG